UACGUAGGAGGCAAGCGUUAUCCGGAAUGACUGGGCGUAAAGGGUGCGUAGGUGGUUUGGCAAGUUAGUAGCGUAACUCCGGGGCUCAACUCCGGAACUACUACUAAAACUGUCGGACUUGAGUGCAGGAGGGGCAAUUGGAAUUCCUAGUGUAGCGGUGGAAUGCGUAGAUAUUAGGAAGAACACCAGUGGCGAAGGCGAAUUGCUGGACUGUAACUGACACUGAGGCACGAAAGCGUGGGGAGCAAACA
rnacentral:rRNA from 1 species